rnacentral:rRNA from 1 species
UACAGAGGGUGCAAGCGUUGUUCGGAAUUAUUGGGCGUAAAGGGCGCGUAGGCGGUGCCACAAGUCACCUGUGAAAUCUCCGGGCUUAACUCGGAGCCUGCAGGCGAAACUGUGGUGCUGGAGUGUGGGAGAGGUGCGUGGAAUUCCCGGUGUAGCGGUGAAAUGCGUAGAUAUUGGGAGGAACACCAGUGGCGAAGGCGGCUACCUGGACCGGUUCUGACGCUGAUGCGCGAAAGCGUGGGUAGCAAACAGG